rnacentral:lncRNA from 1 species
UUUGAGGCUGACAUUAUGAUCUGCAGAGAGUAAAGAUUCUAGUUAGAUUUUUGUACUUGAUCCUUAAUCUGUUCUAAGGACUUUUAGAACGAAUGUACCUCCCACUAUUUUCUCGAAUUCCUCACACUCCCCUGGUAAGAAAACGGAAAUCCUACACGACAGGAUUUCUAGUGGAUACUGCGGUUCCACCGAUUUACAUGCCACCUCACCUAACAGUUAUUGAUGACACAUAAAUUGAUGAAUGUACAACUCUUGUACAAUACUUCUUAAGCAUGUUGCAGUGCUACUUGGUCUCUAAGCCAUGAAAACCUCACCUAACAGUUAUUGGUCCCAUUUCUUAGUUAAGUCAGACCCACCGUAUAACCGUAGGAAUAAAGUCGUCAUUGGGUCCUCACCUAACAGUUAUUGGUGCCCAACCCCAUCUUUACCCUACAACAUCUCAUGUCUAUAGAGAGGUCCAACCUCCCGAUGCAACUUGACCACUGUAUCCAGCCGAGAAAAAUCAACAUCAGAAAGGCCUUAGCAGCUCUACUACGGUGGAAGACCUAUUGACUUAAUAUUGGUUAAUCAGGUCUUAGUGUUUGCAACUUGAGCUCUUCAUAAGAGGUAAUCGAACAAUUGGCCAGGUAAGCAGGUGGGAGGCUCCCCUUACUCAGAGAGUAAGGUCCUAAUUAAGUAACCAAAUUUCAUGCUUUCCUAGACACCAAUUAGAUCAAUUAAUCUAAUACGACUUGCUCAUGUCGGUUCACUCUCGACUUGAUUGAGGAGGUUUUAAUUUAGGUCUCAAUUGGGUUUGCUACAUCACAUGUAAACCUAUCUACCCGUCUCUCAUUCACAUCACAUGCAAACGACACAUUGCAGGCAGUUAUAAUCGCAGCAAUAAUUAAAGCUAAACUUUAAAUAGGUGAUGAUCAUGGAUUCUAAUUAGGUCAUAUUACAAGCACAUGCACGUCAAUCGAUCAACUGGUCUUCAACUCUUGAAUUGGUUCCAAGCCUCCUUGAUUCGAUCCUUGUUUAACUCU